rnacentral:rRNA from 1 species
UGUCACUUACAGAUGAACCCGCGGCGCAUUAGCUAGUUGGUGGGGUAAUGGCUCACCAAGGCGACGAUGCGUAGCCGACCUGAGAGGGUGAUCGGCCACACUGGGACUGAGACACGGCCCAGACUCCUACGGGAGGCAGCAGUAGGGAAUCUUCCGCAAUGGACGAAAGUCUGACGGAGCAACGCCGCGUGAGUGAUGAAGGUUUUCGGAUCGUAAAGCUCUGUUGUUAGGGAAGAACAAGUGCGAGAGUAACUGCUCGCACCUUGACGGUACCUAACCAGAAAGCCACGGCUAACUACGUGCCAGCAGCCGCGGUAAUACGUAGGUGGCAAGCGUUGUCCGGAAUUAUUGGGCGUAAAGGGCUCGCAGGCGGUUUCUUAAGUCUGAUGUGAAAGCCCCCGGCUCAACCGGGGAGGGUCAUUGGAAACUGGGAAACUUGAGUGCAGAAGAGGAGAGUGGAAUUCCACGUGUAGCGGUGAAAUGCGUAGAGAUGUGGAGGAACACCAGUGGCGAAGGCGACUCUCUGGUCUGUAACUGACGCUGAGGAGCGAAAGCGUGGGGAGCGAACAGGAUUAGAUACCCUGGUAGUCCACGCCGUAAACGAUGAGUGCUAAGUGUUAGGGGGUUUCCGCCCCUUAGUGCUGCAGCUAACGCAUUAAGCACUCUGCCUGGGCAGUACGUGACAA